GUAUUAAAGAAAAAGAUAGAUCUCUUAUCUUGGUCACAGAAAGACGCAGAUGGUACUUUGCUCAUAGACAUUAAAAGACAGAAGAGCUAUAAAGACAAGAUUGCAAUAGUUUAGGUCCAAAUCAUUAUUUACAACAUGAACACACGAUUGCUUUGUAUUGUAACAGUUCUGUUACUUGGAAACUUUCAAUGCUCUGAAGGUGCACCAAAACUUUGUGCUAAUAUAGUAAAUUGUUUUGUCCGGCCUUGCCAAUUUGCACAGUGUUCCGUUUCCGGAGCAGUUUGUAUGGAUGAUUACUGUGGAGGCUGUAAUGCGAGGUGGUAUGUCGGCAAUACAGAGGUGACAAGUCAAUGUGCUGCUAUUGCUUGAUGAACUCUGGAGCCGAAAUCCUCGGAAACAAACACUUGAUCUUGAACAACAUGUUAAGACAUUAUUGCUUGGAUGUCAUCUGACAUUACAGUUUUGAAUGAUGGAAUUAUUUGUAAUAAAUAAUGAAACCAAUAAAAAUGUUUUGAAAAAAGAA